UUUUACGUGUAUUUACGAUCUUAUGUAACAUUUUAUUUAAGAAUAUAAUACAUUUUUAUAAUCCUAUUAUACUGUUGCUAUUUUAUUUAUUGGAACUCGAUGAAGUGUAAAUAAAUAUUUUUGAUUUUUCAUUAUGUAAUGCUUUGUUUUUUAGUGUUGUGAAACAUGCCAGCGAGAAGCUAGGGGACCCAUUUGCCCCGUCGAACUAAUAAAACAUCAAGCAUGCGUAAUAAUAGAGCAGAAAGAACAGACGAUUAAAACCAACAAAAUAACGAAAAUGUGCGUGUGAGCAAAUCACCAUUCAACGGUUUGCUCAUCGGCACGUAUCCGUAGUAGCAAUGCUGUUCCUGAAGUCUAAUCGCACACGAAAAAAUAUCGCAAAGGACUUCGUUCCUCCCCGGGUCAAGAAACCCAAAUUGUAGCAAGUGAGUCACGGUAAUAUUAAAAUUCUCGCGCAAGAAGAAAAAUCAUGGUGAUGGCCAACGAUGCGACAGCGAACAAACGCCAUGUUUAUCCCAUAUUCUACCGCCAAACAGCAAUAUUUAGUAUUGUUGUGUUCCGGCUUAUAUAGCGAUGGAGACAGUAUAACUACAGGAACAAGGGACAAGGGUGGGAGUGACCAUUUACCAAUAUUAUAAAAGAAACAAAAAACGGACUAUCUUUUUCAAAAGUUCUGUCUCAUAAUGUGGGACGAAUGUACGAUGAGCCACCACUCACACACAAAAUCCGUAGACAUAACCUAAGAAAACAAUAAUAAAUAAACGCAUGAAAAGAUUCUCAGGGUGGUGCUUUAUGCG